rnacentral:rRNA from 1 species
CUAAUACCGGAUAACACUCUGUCCCGCAUGGGGACGGGGUUAAAAGCUCCGGCGGUGAAGGAUGAGCCCGCGGCCUAUCAGCUUGUUGGUGGGGUAAUGGCCUACCAAGGCGACGACGGGUAGCCGGCCUGAGAGGGCGACCGGCCACACUGGGACUGAGACACGGCCCAGACUCCUACGGGAGGCAGCAGUGGGGAAUAUUGCACAAUGGGCGAAAGCCUGAUGCAGCGACGCCGCGUGAGGGAUGACGGCCUUCGGGUUGUAAACCUCUUUCAGCAGGGAAGAAGCGAAAGUGACGGUACCUGCAGAAGAAGCGCCGGCUAACUACGUGCCAGCAGCCGCGGUAAUACGUAGGGCGCAAGCGUUGUCCGGAAUUAUUGGGCGUAAAGAGCUCGUAGGCGGCUUGUCACGUCGGAUGUGAAAGCCCGGGGCUUAACCCCGGGUCUGCAUUCGAUACGGGCUAGCUAGAGUGUGGUAGGGG